rnacentral:rRNA from 1 species
AGUGAACGCUGGCGGUAGGCCUAACACAUGCAAGUCGAACGGCAGCACAGUAAGAGCUUGCUCUUACGGGUGGCGAGUGGCGGACGGGUGAGGAAUACAUCGGAAUCUACUUUUUCGUGGGGGAUAACGUAGGGAAACUUACGCUAAUACCGCAUACGACCUACGGGUGAAAGCAGGGGAUCUUCGGACCUUGCGCGAUUGAAUUAGCCGAUGUCGGAUUAGCUAUUUGGCGGGGUAAAGGCCCACCAAGGCGACGAUCCGUAGCUGGUCUGAGAGGAUGAUGGGCCACACGGAAACUGAGAAAGGUUCCAGACUCCGACGGGAGGCAGCAGUGGGGAAUAUUGGACAAUGGGCGCAAGCCUGAGCCAGCCAUACCGCGUGGGUGAAGAAGGCCUUCGGGUUGUAAAGCCCUUUUGUUGGGAAAGAAAGGCAGCAGGUUAAUACCCCGCUGUUCUGACGGUACCCAAAGAAUAAGCACCGGCUAACUUCGU